rnacentral:rRNA from 1 species
GAUGAACGCUGGCGGCGUGCCUAAUACAUGCGAGUCGAGCGACCAGCCGAGGAGCUUGCUCCUCUGACGUUAGCGGCGGACGGGUGAGUAAACCGUGGAUAACCUACCUAUAAGCCUGGGAUAACUUCGGGAAACCGGAGCUAAUACCGGAUAAUAUAUUGAACCGCAUGGUUCAAUAGUGAAAGACGGUUUUGCUGUCACUUAUAGAUGGAUCCGCGCCGCAUUAGCUAGUUGGUAAGGUAACGGCUUCCCAAGGAGACGAUGCGUAGCCGACCUGAGAGGGUGAUCGGCCACACUGGAACUGAGACACGGUCCAGACUCCUACGGGAGGCAGCAGUAGGGAAUCUUCCGCAAUGGGCGAAAGCCUGACGGAGCAACGCCGCGUGAGUGAUGAAGGUCUUCGGAUCGUAAAACUCUGUUAUUAGGGAAGAACAAAUGUGUAAGUAACUAUGCACGUCUUGACGGUACCUAAUCAGAAAGCCACGGCUAACUACGUG